rnacentral:rRNA from 1 species
AUUGAACGCUGGCGGCAGGCCUAACACAUGCAAGUCGAACGAGUGGCGGACGGGUGAGUAAUGUCUGGGAACCUGCCUAGUGGCGGGGGAUAACUACUGGAAACGGUAGCUAAUACCGCAUACCAUCGGAUGUGCCCAGAUGGGAUUAGCUAGUAGGUGGGGUAAAGGCUCACCUAGGCGACGAUCCCUAGCUGGUCUGAGAGGAGGACCAGCCACACUGGAACUGAGACACGGUCCAGACUCCUACGGGAGGCAGCAGUGGGGAAUAUUGGACAAUGGGGGAAAGCCUGAUGCAGCCAUGCCGCGUGUAUGAAGAAGGCCUUCGGGUUGUAAAGUACUUUCAGCGGGGAGGCGUUACCCGCAGAAGAAGCACCGGCUAACUACGUGCCAGCAGCCGCGGUAAUUC